UGGUGCUGGUGUGACUUGUACAGGUAACUCUCAAUUUUCGCGUGUUUGGUUUAUGCGUUUUUGAAAUAACGCGGGGUCCAAAAUCCAAAUAAAUGUUUAAUUUACACAUUUUUUUCAUUUUUAUGGAUGUGUCACGCAACUGGACUCACAAAGUGCCGCAGCCACACAGCUGAGCUCAGUUCUUCCUGCGCGCCACUUGAACAACACUACAGUACCCACGCUGCCAUGCUACUCAACAAUAGGGGUGGGCAGAGUGGCCGAGGGUGGCGUGCGGCCCUGCAUCGCAUCAGAUCAGCUGCCCCAUCACGCCCGUCACAUUCUGGGCCAAGGAGAACCUCGGGUGGCAGGCAGCACAGCGGGGGAGGCGGCGGCGCGAGGCCGGGAGGAAGUUGGCGAUGGCUUUUACCAUCUGGCGAGGGAGCAGCCGUGGGUGGUGGCAGCAACUCGGCGAGCGGCGUGGAGGAGGGAGCCGCCAGGGUGGACCACGCCUACAGCCUGCACGUCACCGCCCGCCACUAAGGGCUGUGGGCGUGCAUGACUGCCAACCAAAGACUCACCCCAGAGGAAGUGCCAGGCCAGCACCACCACAGGGACAGAGGAUGAGGAGGAGAGUGUUCCAGCGCUGCUCCAACUUAAUGCUCAUGGGCCACACUGAGCCCCGCUAAGAUGUCCUACCCAGUGGUUCCUCCUGCUGCCCCACUACAAGGGUGUGCCAGGAGUGCCCUCCAGCCUGCAGUCCUUGGGUGGCUGAACGCCCUUGAGGUAAAAAUGAGGUGCCUGGCGGAGCUGCUGGGUCCGUGUGACGCUGGAGGAGCCCGGUGCUGCCUACCUGGGGCCCACACACUCUUCAGCAUCUCCCUGCCUUGUUACACCCACUGACAACAAAUGCUGUGGAGGUGUUGUGAGGGGCAGUGGCAGCGUGUUGGUGUUCCUGGUGGAGCACAGCUGGACAGUGCAGGUGGCCAAGCAGCUCCCAGGGGAGACUUUGUGGCAUUUUUCACUCAAGCUGCAGUCUGUGCCCGGCUGUCCUGCAGCAGUGGCAGAAGCACUGCCUGGCCAGGCCAUCUCCUGCGCCUUACCACACACGGCUGUGCCAAACAACCUGAAGGAGGCUACCACUCAAGCCAUGCUGGAGCUGACUGACAUGAUGCACUCUUGGACUGAUAAGGUAAAGCUCUAAAGGACGAUUUCUCAUGGCUGUGAACAAGGUCCUUGCUGUUGAGGAGGGAACAUGCAGACCUGUGUAUUCUGUGGAGCUGGCCGGCGACUCCUUCACUCCACCGCUUGACAUGCAGAAAGAACUUGCCUUCAUGGCCUUCCCUCUGUCUGAGUGGGCAGGCAAAGCAGUGGUUUAUAUUAAGUUACUGUUUUACAUAAUGUACUGAGGGAAGGAAAGUCUUAAAUAACCAGCUCUUGGGUCAGUUCCAUUUCAUCCAUUGUCAUGUAUGUAAGGGAACCAUUAGCCCCAUAUUUGUUGUUCUCUUAAGUGACAAAGAAAUGGAAGUAAGGGAACAAUUUACACAUUUUUAUUGUUCUCUUAAGUGACAAAGAAAUGGAAGUAAGGGAACAAUUUACACAUUUUUAUUGUUCUCUUAAGUGACAAAGAAAUGGAAGUAAGGGAACAAUUUACACAUUUUUAUUGUUCUCUUAAGUGACAAAGAAAUGGAAGUAAGGGAACAAUUUACACAUUUUUAUUGUUCUCUUAAGUGACAAAGAAAUGGAAGUAAGGGAACCAUUAACACAUUUUUAUUGUUCUCUUAAGUGACAAAGAAAUGGAAAUCAGUCAUGUAGACUCUGCAUCCCCAUAUCAAGUCUUUCCUAGAGUAUCUUAAAAAGCAUAGAUGACUUAAUGACCAGAGAUUGGAAUGUCCUCCUUACUAGAUCAGCACAGCGGUCAUAGCACAUCAUAAUAAGUAA